AUUGAACGCUGGCGGCAGGCCUAACACAUGCAAGUCGCACGAGUGGCGGACGGGUGAGUAAUGUCUGGGAAACUGCCCGAUGGAGGGGGAUAACUACUGGAAACGGUAGCUAAUACCGCAUACCAUCGGAUGUGCCCAGCUGGGAUUAGCUAGUAGGUGGGGUAACGGCUCACCUAGGCGACGAUCCCUAGCUGGUCUGAGAGGAUGACCAGCAACACUGAAAGUGAGACACGGUCCAGAAUCCUACGGGAGGCAGCAGUGGGGAAUAGUGCACAAUAGGCGCAAGCAUGAUGCAGCCAUGCCGCGUGUAUGAAGAAGGCCUUCGGGUUGUAAAGUACGUUCAGCGAGGAGGCGUUACUCGCAGAAGAAGCACCGGCUAACUCCGUGCCAGCAGCCGCGGUAAUAC
rnacentral:rRNA from 1 species